rnacentral:rRNA from 1 species
AUUGAACGCUGGCGGCAGGCCUAACACAUGCAAGUCGAACGAGUGGCGGACGGGUGAGUAAUGUCUGGGAAACUGCCUGAUGGAGGGGGAUAACUACUGGAAACGGUAGCUAAUACCGCAUACCAUCGGAUGUGCCCAGAUGGGAUUAGCUAGUAGGUGGGGUAACGGCUCACCUAGGCGACGAGCCCUAGCUGGUCUGGGAGGAGGACCAGCAACACUGGAACUGAGACACGGGCCAGACCCCUACGGGAGGCAGCAGUGGGGAAUAUUGCACAAUGGGCGCAAGCCUGAUGCAGCCAUGCCGCUUGUGUGAAGAAGGCCUUCGGGUUGUAAAGCACUUUCAGCGGGGAGGCGUUACCCGCAGAAGAAGCACCGGCUAACUCCGUGCCAGCCGCCGCGGUAAUUC